rnacentral:rRNA from 1 species
GACGAAUGCUGGCGGCGUGCCUAAUACAUGCAAGUUGAGCGAUGAAGAUUGGUGCUUGCACCAAUUUGAAGAGCAGCGAACGGGUGAGUAACGCGUGGGGAAUCUGCCUUUGAGCGGGGGACAACAUUUGGAAACGAAUGCUAAUACCGCAUAACAGCUUUAAACAUAAGUUUUAAGUUUGAAAGAUGCAAUUGCAUCACUCAAAGAUGAUCCCGCGUUGUAUUAGCUAGUUGGUGAGGUAAAGGCUCACCAAGGCGAUGAUACAUAGCCGGCCUGAGAGGGUGAUCGGCCACAUUGGGACUGAGACACGGCCCAAACUCCUACGGGGGGCAGCAGUAGGGAAUCUUCGGCAAUGGACGAAAGUCUGACCGAGCAACGCCGCGUGAGUGAAGAAGGUUUUCGGAUCGUAAAACUCUGUUGGUAGAGAAGAACGUUGGUGAGAGUGGAAAGCUCAUCAAGUGACGGUAACUACCCAGAAAGGGACGGCUAACUACGUGCCAGCAGCCGCCGCGG